UACGUAGGGCGCAAGCGUUGUCCGGAAUUAUUGGGCGUAAAGAGCUCGUAGGCGGCUGCUCAAGUCGAAUGUGAAAACUCGAGGCUCAACCUCGAGCCUGCAUUCGAUACUGGGCGGCUAGAGUCUGGUAGGGGGAUCUGGAAUUCCUGGUGUAGCGGUGAAAUGCGCAGAUAUCAGGAAGAACACCAAUGGCGAAAGCAGCUUUCUGGGACGGUACUGACGCUGAGACGCGAAAGCGUGGGGAGCAAACAGG
rnacentral:rRNA from 1 species